AGAGUUUGAUCCUGGCUCAGGAUGAACGCUAGCGGCAGGCCUAACACAUGCAAGUCGAGGGGCAGCACAUAUAAGCUUGCUUAUAGGGUGGCGACCGGCGCACGGGUGCGUAACGCGUAUACAAUCUACCUUAUGCUGAGGGAUAGCCCAGAGAAAUUUGGAUUAACCCCUCAUGGUAUUAGAGAAUGGCAUCAUUUUUUAAUUAAAGGUUACGGCAUAAGAUGAGUAUGCGUCCCAUUAGCUAGUUGGUAGGGUAACGGCUUACCAAGGCUACGAUGGGUAGGGGUCCUGAGAGGGAGAUCCCCCACACUGGUACUGAGACACGGACCAGACUCCUACGGGAGGCAGCAGUGAGGAAUAUUGGACAAUGGGCGAGAGCCUGAUCCAGCCAUGCCGCGUGCAGGAAGACGGCCCUAUGGGUUGUAAACUGCUUUUAAACGGGAAGAAUAAGACCUACGUGUAGGUUGAUGACGGUACCGUAAGAAUAAGGACCGGCUAACUCCGUGCCAGCAGCCGCGGUAAUACGGAGGGUCCGAGCGUUAUCCGGAAUUAUUGGGUUUAAAGGGUCCGUAGGCGGAUGAUUAAGUCAGGGGUGAAAGUUUGCAGCUCAACUGUAAAAUUGCCUUUGAUACUGGUAGUCUUGAGUUGUAUUGAAGUGGCUGGAAUAUGUAGUGUAGCGGUGAAAUGCAUAGAUAUUACAUAGAACACCGAUUGCGAAGGCAGGUCACUAAGUACACACUGACGCUGAUGGACGAAAGCGUGGGGAGCGAACAGGAUUAGAUACCCUGGUAGUCCACGCCGUAAACGAUGGAUACUAGCU
rnacentral:rRNA from 1 species